AUGGCUGAAUCGUGGUCAGUGGACGAGGUGCAGACGUUCCUCUCGUUGGUUGCCGAGGAGCGGAUCCAGCGAGAGCUGGAUGGGGCAACACGGAAUGAAAAAGUGUUCCAAGAAGUAGCACAGCUCUUAGCCGCACACGGCUACCACCGAACCUACAAACAGUGUAGGGACAAAUUAAAAAAACUAAACAGUGACUACCGAGCCAUAAAGGAUCACAACGGCCGGAGUGGUGCAAACAGAAGAACGUGGAAGUGGUUCGACCAAAUGGACGCUAUCUACGGAAGUCGACCUGCGAGCAAUGGGAGAGAGGGUGCCCUGGACUCGGCCACCUCGUUGUUGGACAACACAAUCGAGGAUGAUGCACUGUCUACGAUUGACUCGUUAGCACUUUCUCCGUGCAGUGAUGCCUCAACGUCCCAACUGGUGAUAGCAGCGUCACCACCAGCAACCUCCAGCAGCACCAGCAGGACACCAGAGAGUGUGGUAACAGGUAUGAAAUACAGUGGUGUAUUAAAUUAACGAGUAGACAGACAUGAAUGUUUAUUCAUAACAGUACUGAAAAAAAGUAAAUAUUGUUAGCUGAUGCUAACUGUCUAGCUAACAAGCUUGCUGGUGCUAAGUUGAGGUAAUUUUUAUAAAUGAUGUCCAAAUAUUUUUAUUCAACCACCUAUAUAUAUAUAUACAUAUUACAUCUGGGGAGAAAAAAUGUGAAAGAAUGUGAUGUUCAGAACAUGGUAACUACAGUAAUUAUCAAAGCGGGAAGAGAUGCACCCUGUUUGGCCAGGGGUGUUUUUAAAUUAUAUUAUACUAACUUCAGGCCUUAUUAUCAUGUCAUAUAUAACUGUGAUGUUCUGUAUGUAACGGGUUGAGAAUCCGUAAUGUUCAGUUUGGCUCAUUGGAAGUAGAUAAUUUUUAAUGUUUUCGUAUAUUUUAAAUGGUAAGAUACGCCCACUGGCAUUAAACCGUGGCUUGACAUUGAGUACACCUGUGCGGCGCAAUCAUGAAGGUGCGUCAGGUUUUAGUGGCGUGAUUAAAAAGCCUGUGGAAGUGGGGCACUGUCAUUCUUCUCUGUGCUGUGUAGUAACAGGCUGCUCAUUUUGAUUUGCGUUGCCCUCUCUGGUGAGUUGUUUUUUGGAUUGCCCUUUUCUCAGUCACAGAUUAUAGUCUAAAUAUGUUUUUCAUCAGGAGUGUGUGUGUGAAGUGGCGAGCGCAGGUAGCAUCAAGUUCACUAUAGCUUAAGAAAUUCCUACGAGGUAAGAAACGUUAUGGUGGGUUUCCUCUUUUGGGAGGGGAGAAAUUACAAUUAAUGUAUUAUUCGUGUUUUUAUUGCAGGUGCGGCCCAAGAGCGCUAGCUGCUGUUUUGUUUCGUUUUGUUAUAUUUACUUGUGUCACUGUUUUAUUGUACUGUUCGCACGACUGACGGCAGGGACGUCGCGGUUUUGAACCGCUGUAUCCAUUGAGCUCUUUAACGAGCCUUGCUCGUUAUGAAUUAUUGAGAUAUUAGACAGGCGUGUUCCAUGGGCUGUUAUAUCAAACUAACACGCUGGUAGCUGGGUCAGUUUAAAGUAGCUUCAACGGUCUUAAAAUAGUAGUAAAUGUCGUUUUAGUUGUUUGUGUGUAUACUACUUUUGUUUUCUUUUCUUCGUAAUUACCCAUUUAUUUGCCAGUGUAUAUCCACAUUGAUUAUUUGAACUGUGAUAUUGAAGCUUAACAGAAGUGGGAGGGUAUUUGUUUUCUUUUGGUAUUGUUUCCUUUUUUUUAUUUUUUUUGGUGAUCACUUGUCUUAACCUUUGUUCACUGAUUUGCUGUGUGGUUUGUCCCUCUCUGUUAAAGUGGGUUUAUUAUGGUCUCUUAUUAAUUGUGGGUAUCUAAUUGGUAAUUUGUAUGAGAUCUAUUUUUAGGAUGUUUUAAAUGAAUGAUUUUCCUUGUGCGGAAUAAAUUUUUGUAUACUUUUUGGAAAGUCACGUCUCUGUCUUUGAUGCAAAUCGAACCAGCAAGGGUCCUUUUGUUGUAAUUCUUUUUGGUUAAAUUCUCUUGUUGUGGUAUUUUUAUUUAUUUUUUUUAUUAUUUACUUUCCUAGGUGGAGCAGUAACCUAGGUGGCGUAGUCGGGUUUUUUUAUAUUUAGCCAAAGGUUACAAUUUUGGCGUAGUCGGCAGGUUUUUUUCAUUUUGUAUGUGAAGCAGAGACGUGACUAUUACUUUGUUUGUGAUAUCAAUUUGUUUUUUUUUUUGUUUGCUUUUUUUCUCAAACAGCAGCUAGCGCUUUAGAAUAUUGUUUUGU
ensembl:lncRNA